UGCAAGUCGAACGAAGUAGCAAUACUUAGUGGCAGACGGGUGAGUAACAUGUAGGUAUCUGCCCUUUGGCCUGGAAUAACACGAGGAAACUUGUGCUAAUACUGGAUAAGUCUUUACGGAGAAAGCUUUAUGCACCAAUGGAUGAGCCUGCACUUGAUUAGUUUGUUGGUAGGGUAAUGGCCUACCAAGACUGUGAUCAAUAGCUGAUUUGAGAGGAUGAUCAGCCACAUUGGGACUGAGACACGGCCCAAACUCCUACGGGAGGCAGCAGUGGGGAAUCUUGCACAAUGGAGGAAACUCUGAUGCAGCGAUGCCGCGUGAGUGAAGAAGGCCCUUGGGUUGUAAAGCUCUUUCGUCGGGGAAGAAAAUGACUGUACCCGAAUAAGAAGGUCCGGCUAACUUCGUGCCAGCAGCCGCGGUAAUACGAAGGGACCUAGCGUAGUUCGGAAUUACUGGGCUUAAAGAGUUCGUAGGUGGUUGAAAAAGUUGGUGGUGAAAUCCCAGAGCUUAACUCUGGAACUGCCAUCAAAACUUUUCAGCUAGAGUUUGAUAGAGGAAAGCAGAAUUUCUAGUGUAGAGGUGAAAUUCGUAGAUAUUAGAAAGAAUACCAAUUGCGAAGGCAGCUUUCUGGAUCAAUACUGACACUGAGGAACGAAAGCAUGGGUAGCGAAGAGGAUUAGAUACCCUCGUAGUCCAUGCCGUAAACGAUGUGUGUUAGACGUUGGAAAUUUAUUUUCAGUGUCGCAGCGAAAGCGAUAAACACACCGCCUGGGGAGUACGACCGCAAGGUUAAACUCAAAUGAAUUGACGGGGACCCGCACAAGUAGUGGAGC
rnacentral:rRNA from 1 species